rnacentral:rRNA from 1 species
GACGAACGCUGGCGGCGUGCUUAACACAUGCAAGUCGAACGGAAAGGCCCUGCUUUUGUGGGGUGCUCGAGUGGCGAACGGGUGAGUAACACGUGAGUAACCUGCCCCUGACUUUGGGAUAUCUUCAGGAAACUGGGGCUAAUACCGGAUAGGAGCUCCUGCUGCAUGAUGGGGGUUGGAAUGUUUCGGCGGUUGGGGAUGGACUCGCCGCUUAUCAGCUUGUUGGUGGGGUAGUGGCUUACCAAGGCUUUGACGGGUAGCCGGCCUGAGAGGGUGACCGGCCACAUUGGGACUGGGAUACGACACAGACUCCUACGGGAGGCAGCAGUGGGGAAUAUUGUACAAUGGGCGGAAGCCUAACGCAGCAACGCCGCGUGCGGGAUGACGGCCUUCGGGUUGUAAACCGAAUUUGUCUGUGACGAAGCGUGAGUGACGGUAAUGGGUAAAGAAGCACCGGCUAACUACGUG